rnacentral:rRNA from 1 species
AUUGAACGCUGGCGGCAUGCUUUACACAUGCAAGUCGAACGGUAACAGGUUAAGCUGACGAGUGGCGAACGGGUGAGUAAUGCAUCGGAACGUGCCCAGUCGUGGGGGAUAACGCAGCGAAAGCUGCGCUAAUACCGCAUACGAUCUGAGGAUGAAAGCGGGAGACCGUAAGGCCUCGCGCGAUCGGAGCGGCCGAUGGCAGAUUAGGUAGUUGGUGGGGUAAAGGCUCACCAAGCCGACGAUCUGUAGCUGGUCUGAGAGGACGGCCAGCCACACUGGGACUGAGACACGGCCCAGACUCCUACGGGAGGCAGCAGUGGGGAAUUUUGGACAAUGGGCGCAAGCCUGAUCCAGCAAUGCCGCGUGCAGGAAGAAGGCCUUCGGGUUGUAAACUGCUUUUGUACGGAGCGAAAAGGCUCUCUCUAAUACAGGGGGCUCAUGACGGUACCGUAAGAAUAAGCACCGGCUAACUACGUGCCAGCAGCCGCAGUAA